GAGGCGCAGCGGGGUCUGGGGGGGCCGCUGGCGGCCCCCACCCACGAGGCUGCCCCGCGCCAGCUUCUGCAGCUCGACGGGCACCACGGCGCUGGGGCAGUGCUUCUCGAUGUAGUCCUGGAAUCCCUGCACUCCCAUGGGAGGAAACUAGUCCAGAGCACGUGCCACCAGGAGCCCGGCUCUUGGCAUCCUUGGAGUCAGGAGGUGCAGCAGAACUGAGCGCUGCCAGCUCAUGCCCAGCCACAAACACAACCCUCCCUCCCCAGUGAGAAGAAAAAGGAAAAGCACAAGGGGAAUCAAGGUGCUUCUAGAACUUAUUUAAUAUAAACUAAAAGUUUGGCCAGACAAGAAGACAAGGGAAAAUAAGUUAAAUUUAUGGAAAACAAAAUUACUCUGGAAAGCAGGUAGAUUAAGCUACACUUAAAGAGCAAUUAGUCAAAGACAUGAGGCAAGGAAAGUGUUUUUUCAUCAACCAACAGCAGAAAGCCUGCGAGAUUAAUCAAUCUUCUACUUCAGCACUGAGAUGCAAUGUGUUCCACAGUUCCUAGAUGUUGGUUGUGUAAAGGAAGGGUUAAUAGCAGUUGGUAUUAAAGUCAGUGACUCAUUAUCCAACCUGAACAGAGGCAGAUUAGGAGUGGCUCCCUCAAAGGAAGGAACUGAACAGUCAUUAGGAAGAACUAAGGAAUAACCAUGUCAGAGCAAGAACAGAGAUGAAUGUUAUCAGUUUAGUCUUGGUUCCUCUGUUAAGGAAAGUCAGUCCCACAGCAAGAUGAACAUGGACACAGACUGUGGAGCAGACUAGCCACUGGGACCUGAAAGCCUGGUGCAUCUUGCUGUGGACCUGCUGCUCCAGAACUCCCCCAUUCUUGCUGCUGUAGAAGAGCUCCCAGCCUUCACCUCACUGCCAGCAAGCACCUGCCUCAUCUGCCAACCUGCUCCUACAAACCCCACAGCUUGCACAGAGCAGCUGAGCUGAGCUGAUGUCAGGAAGGUGAAGGUCUUGUUCCCAUAUCAGGAUGAUACAUGGAAAAAGCAUGCAGAUAAAGUAUCAUUUGCCCAAGCAUGUCAUCAGAAACUGAGUUCCUAAAGCUCUUUUUCAUUAGGAGAUUUUCAAGGCCUGGUUAACCUGUGCCUGGUACUACUGAAGACAGCAAGCAUCUCACUGAAGAUUUCAGGGAGAGCAAGAGCAGACCCUGGGAGUGAAGAAACAUCAUUUGCAUUCACUUUGGUGGAUGGCUGUGUUCUAGGAGAACCUACAAACACUUCUUGAUGCUCCAGGGUACACUGAGGAGGGAGUAAAAUGAGUGAAAGAAAACAAGGUAUGUUGCCUUCUCUUUUUUCAUCCUCCUUAUAGUCCAGGUUUCCAUCUUCAGAGGAUUCCAUCAGAUGCAGCAGCUGUGAUAAGGAGCCUCCAUUAGACUGUCCUGUUCACAGUGCUGGAGAUGAAAAGUUCCCUUUUAUUUGAAGUCAAUGUACAUUACAUAAACAUAAACCCAUUCAAACUAACAGUCAUUCUGUGUCUGAAGCUAUUUGCUGUUUUCAUCUGCAGUUAUGCACAGCCAAUUUCAGUGAGGUCUUAUUCUGUACCUCAGGUUUCUAUAAGCAACAGAAAAUAACAGUUGGCUAUUUUGUCUCUGCUCGUCCUGAUUUUAAAAUACCUAAAGACCAACAUCUUCCUUUGCAGUAGACACUGGACAUUUUUGGGAAGAAAUAGAUCAAGAACUUCAAUACAAAAAAAGGCUUAGAAACAUCAACAACACCUUUCAGGAAGAAAAUCAAUAUGAGAUUAAAGAAAUUAAAUAAAAAAUUACAAAUGAAAUGCAAAGUGAUCCAACAAAGGUUGUAAAAGUCAUAAUAAAUGCUGACCAAACAACCAUCAUGGAGUCAUAAUUUAAAGGGAAGCUUCACUUUAGAGAAGAGCAGUGUUUAAAGAAAAGCUAAUUUUAUCUUUUUGAAUACUGUUAAAAUAGCUAUUAAAAGUAACAAGUUGUCAUCCAAAACACUGCAGUGCAUCUCAGAGGAGAGCUAGCACAGACUAUGAACUGGCCUCACAUGGUGAUCUAUGUCUGAUACCAUAAGAAAUACACUAUUUCAAGAGCCCAGGCAAGCUGUAUAGGUGGAGCCCUGUUCUUGCUGCAAUGAUAGUUUUGCUAGUGAUGUUGGUGAAUUGAUGUUUUCCUCUGAUUUUAGCCCAUACAAGUUUAAAUUCUGAGCUAGGAAACCCAUAGCAGUUCUACUGCAUGUAAUACCAGUGAUUUUAAAUACAUUUGCUUAGGAGGAUUACUGAAUGGAAUUUGAAAAGCGAUUUAUUAUUGGAAAUUAUUUGUACUUGUUUAUUCACCCAGUUUUCCUAACUGUGCCAUGUUAUUUUGGAUGGUAGUGCGCCUCAGCUGUACCAGGACACGAUAAACACGUAAGCCUUUGGGCAUCUGAGGUGAGUUGUUUCCCUUCCCCAUUCCAUUGGAAAAUCAACAAAAGCAAGCCUUCAACAGCACGAAUUCCAUUAUGACCCACCUUAGCAGGCACCUAAAUCCUGCAACGAUAAUUUAUCUUUGAACUCCUUAGUAGUGGUGCAUAAUUAACAAGUAAGCUGCAGGAGCAGGCAGUUGCUCUGUAUUUACCUGGUAUUUGCUGUGCAGUCGUGGUGUAAUUACGGAGAUUAUACCUGCUCUCUGGAGUAGGAGUACAUGGUGUACCUCGUUUUGUGCUAUCUCACACCAGCAAAGCAGACCCCAGCGCGACGGAGCUGAACAAAAAUUCCAUUCUGCAGCGGGUGGAAGGGAGCCGCAGGCAGGGAGGGGCACCGCGCGGGGCUUGGGUUUGGGACUGCUGCCCUGGCUGUCAGGCAGGCAGCUUGAACAUGCAGAUUCAAAGUCAGCCAGGAGGAGUUCGGGGUUUUUAGUAUAGUAACUUUCCCCUCUGAUGUAUACUAUGGUAGGUUUCUGUACUAAUUACAGGAAAUGCGUGGGAAGAAUCUACCUUCUUACAAAGUUUAAAUUUUUUAAAGUAUAUUUGAUGUUAGCACAUCCUCACUGCUUUGCCCUUUGGUAUCACAAUACCAAAUGUGAAGUUGCAGCACUUAGGUGCUGGGAAAAAAAUACCAGCAAGUGGUGAAAAGUGCAAAGAAAUAAUGCUGUGCCUCUUGAGUUGAUCGCAUUCUAUGUGAUUCAGCAUAAACUAUAAGUAAAACUAAAUUUAAAGUUUCUAUUAUAUUUGAGAUCUACAUCUAACAGGAAGGGGAAUACUGUACACAACACUUAGUGCAGAAAUUUCUGUGCCACUGCUCCAAAGCAGACUUUCUGCUCCUGAAUGCAGUAUUGCCUUCUCUAAGGAGAAUGCACAAGCCUUUCUAGAGCAUGGAUACAGCAACACUAGUUAAGCAACUCAGCAGAAGAAACAUGGAUUUAUUUGCUGUUGCCAAAGAAUAAAAUUUCACUUCAGCAGACAAUAAAACCGUCUAAGAGUUCCCUGUUCUGCUCCAGGAAAAGUAGGUAGCUUUUCUAAGUGUAAAUUAUUGUUGUUCAGCUUCAUAAUAAUUGUCCUGUCUUAAGUGACUUGAUUUCUCAGUACAGAGUUAACAGAUUCUCACUCUGAAGGGCCAGCCAUGUGACCUGACAGGGGAUGAGCUGUGCUGUAUUGAUUUCCAGCACUGCGUUAGCAGUGUUCAGCUACGUCACCAAAAUGAGAUACAAAUUACCACAAUAUAAUUAGUUCAUUUGAAUGUCUCAUGGUGAUUUCACUCUGUGCCACAGCCAGGGCUCUUGUGGUUUUUAUGGGAUCUGUUGACCUUGGCAAGGCGGGUGGGGCUCCCCCAUCCCCUCCUGGCUGGGCUGCAUCUGGCACCCAGCUUGGUGCAAACCUAAAACUGACUUUUGAACCUUGGGUUCAGGAAACUUUGAUGCUUAACAUCAAUAACUUAUUUCUGUCACAAACUACAUUAUCUGAGGAGUUGUUCAUGAGCAGCGAGAGUUAAUAUUUCAGUCCAUCUCAGAUGGUGCUGCUUAAGGACAUGAACACAGUGCACUAAAUCUUUUCUGUACUGACAGAUUUAAAAAUCAUUUCAGAAGAAGUUAGAGAGCAAAAAUAAAAUAAAACUUCUUUUCCAAAAUUCAUAUUUGAAAAAAUGGUAAUUGGUUUCUCACUAGCAGUAUUUCUAUGCGGAGUUUUUUAUUGUUUUUAAAUUAAAAAAUAUUUUAAAUAAAAGUCUUUUAUUCUUAAAUAAAAUCUUCCUGUUUUCAUAGUGGACAGUAAGGAACAAUGGAAGAGAUGCCCCUCUGUGUCCCAUUUACAAUCACAAACAUCAUCGUCCAUGAAUUCCAUGACUUUUUCAUUUCCAUUUUUCCUACUUAACAUCACAGAGUGCUGGGGUGGCAGCUGCAGCAGCUGUUUACUCUAGCUGGAACGCCAGCAAAGCAUUUCCCUGGCACACCAACCAGAGCCAGGCCUGUAUUUUACAAGCUCCUUAAAGGAAACAUUUCAGGCCAACUGUGAGACUUGGAUUUGGAAUUCUAAACCUCCUUGGCUCUGGUGUACCACAGCACUCAGGCUUUGACUUUUACCUCCUUUUCCAUAUUGUCAGAGUCACUCCAAUGCUUUAUUUUGUGAGAGGAUGCAAGGUACCCAACCCAGCUUCCAUUGAAAAGUGCAAUCAUUCCUUUGAACUUUUCUCUUAAAAGACAGUGUUUUACCGUCUGAGAAGGGCACUUGCCUCCAUCUAAAAAAUGGAGAAAGAAGAACUUUGCACUGAGUCCAGCAUGGUCCUGAUCAGACUCCUCAGUUGGAGUUCCAAUACAGCCUUGUUUUUCAUUCAAGCAUUACAACAACCAGGAGAAUAUUUCCAUUAUUUCUAGGAACGAAGUAAUUUUUAAAUGGUGAAAGUGUGCAUAAUUUCAAUUGUUCUCACGGAGAAUACUCAAGACUAGCUCUUUUGAUGUUUUGUUCACAGAAAUAGACAUGUCAUGCAAGUGUAUAUAUACAAUGAAUGGACGUGGGACAAAUGUUUGAAGACCUAUUGCAACAAGUUGCUCACAAAUGAUCUACAGCAAGAGUUACUUCCAGAAUGGUUACUGAACAUGUGUUUGGAAAAAAGAUAUUUAAGCAAAUCAAUCUGCUUGUGGACAAAUAAUAAAAAGAGAAAAAGGAAAAAUUCCUCUAACAAAUAUGAAACUGCAAAUUAUUCACUCAGUUCAGUUGGCAACAACCAACUUUUGUGGUAGUAGGAGCUCAUAGAGUAGGAGGUAACUGUGUGAAGAAUGAUUGGUUUGGUAUCUUAUAUUGCAAUUCUGGAAGGGCUUAAAUUUCUAAUUUAAAAGCUAUCUUCCUUCUUUUACCCAGUAAAGGAAACAAAAUGAUAGUUGAUUUCUGUGAGCUUUUUUGGGCAGAUAGGAUCUAUUUUAUGUCCUCUAGACACUGACAACAGCUAGCUCAUAAGAAAGAGCAGUUAUUUAUUAGAAAAGAUCUCUCUUGCCAGGAAAAAACCCCAAAGCCUGCCUAAGGAAGGAUAUUGCCAUCACAAUCCUCUUUGCAUCUUCCUAGGAAAGACGUAAUGGGUCUGAACUUGGUGCAUCUUUGAGUUGUGGAGCCUUGUGUAAGCUGCACCUCCACAGCCCGUUUUUCAGUACAAGCACUGAUUUACUUCCCUCUUGGAAGAAUAUAAAGCUCAUCUGGGACAUCUCUGAGCUAAGAGCACCUUUUGCUUCUCCUUCCCCAUUCCUGGGAUGAAGCCAGCCACCUUUUGGUGAGAGGCUCUGGGAUGCUGCAGUGGGAUGCCAGCAGAAUUGUCUUCUUCUCCAAAGUGACUAUAGCUUGCUCUGUUUAUACCUGUGGAGUGGUGGAUGAGAGUUUAGCAUUCAACUCUUCUCAACUCCUUACGCGCAUAUUCUUGAUUGAAUAUGUAACUCCUAAUUUAUUCACGAGCAGGCACAUGCUCUCUUCCAAGGCAUGGCAGAUGCGAGGGAGCACACUGCAUCCCUACUGCUUUACUUCACAAAACCUAAAAAUGCUAAAGCCAUAAAUAGGCAUUAUACCACAAUCUUUGGCUGAACGAUCUCCAAUGUUACUGCAGAUCUUAGUCAUAGUGAAAGCUUUUACAAGCUACUUUGAGCUAAUGGCAAAAUAGUUUUCCUUUAAAGCAGUGAUGUGUUCCUUUCCACAAAUGCUAAUUGCUAUGAUUGUAUUGUAAGUUCUGGGCUUCGUUACACUGAGCUUUAGUUAGCUUGUUAUAACUUUACCCUAACCAUUGACCAGAGAUUAAUUUUACCCUUUCUGUGGUUUUAGAGAGAAAGAUACAGGGACUGAGACUCUUUCAUGUCACCAAAGUCAGCAAUGGUAAAAAGGUGCGUUUCUGCAAGAAUGUUCUAGGCAACCUCCUCAGCCACAGAAGGAUGUGCUGCAGAAGCUGAUGUUCAUGAGCUAUUUCACCAGCCCACUAGGAUACAAGAUGAGGAUAUCUGCAUCCAGCUGAGCUGUGCCAAAACUACCUUGUCUUCCUGCCUCUUAUACCUUUCUUUUCAUGCUGCAAAUCCAUGUUAGUUUCAAGACUGCUUGAAAUGUCUGUGGCUGGCAAUGCCAGCCCAUGACUGGUGAACAUCCUACCCACUGCUGGUGCUUUAGGAGUCCUUUUGGCAGGACCUGCCUCCUUGGGACAGGAGCUGGAGCAUACGGUAGCUCAUCACCUCAUUGUCAGAGCACAGCUGAUAUGUUGGUGGACUAACUUCAACAAUUUCACUGCAAGAGAGCUUUAAUUCUGACUCUUGCAAGAAUAUAGACAAAUUUCUCAGUCUGCUUCAGUCUAUGAAUUGCAGAUACAUAUAUAGGUUGUUUGAUCCUGGAUAAAAACCCAUCACUGCCCUCUCUCUUUUACCUUCCCCAUUCCCUGCAAUUUGGGAACGUUUGCCUAGAAAGGGUAAGAAAACAUUCAGCUGCUGCAGAUCCUCCUAAACACACCAGCUUUUUUUUUGUUUGUUUGUUUGUUUGUUUAAUUUGCUACAUAUGACUAAUUCCACUGAGUUUCUGCCAGGGAGAAUUUGCAACUCAAAGUACCCCAUGAGUGUGCUACAACACUGCCAAGAAUUGAAUACCACCAGUCUUCAUAAUUGCUGUUUUUCCAAAGAUCAGGUAUAGCAGAGGCUAUUUUGGGCUAUAAAUGGAAAUCAGAAAAUGGGAUUUUCUUUCCCUAUUAGUUCCUCUCCUGGGAAUUUUAGUCCUUUUCUCUGUGCACAUGCUUUGGUUGUUGGUAUAUUGGUAAUGUGGGUCUCUCAGAGCAUCCGUCACUGGAGCCUGUUCUGAAGCACUGCAAUGCCAGUGAACAUGGGAAAUCAUUCCCACUAGUACCAAUGUGCAGAUUGUUGAUAUAAUAUCAUGUAUUAGACCAAAACCAAAUCAGAAUAGCCUAAUUUACCCCAUGAUUCUGGUGACAGGUGAUUCAAAAGUAAGGUUUACAAAAUAAGUAAAGGUAUUUCCCAGCUACCUGUACUUCCUUUCCUAAUAGUGGCAAUCCAUUUGCAACACUCAGUUUUGCAGAUUGCCUGUUACCUCCUGUGGAUGAUCAAAGUCCAAUCAUGAAUGCAGGCACUCUGGACUUGCAGUCCUGUCAAUAUCAGGGAUGUCUGGCCUUGCCUUCAGUUUACAGCACAGACAUUGCCAUCUUAAUCACCCAUAUCAUAUAGAUCUAAUGCAAGAUCUUUGCAUGGCCUUUAAAUCUGAGAAGUUCCAAUUAUCAUUCUUUUAUCAUCAAUUCUUCUGUCAUCAUUUCUAUCAUUCUUCAUGAAUUACGCAUUUUUCUUUUUUUCUGGAAAAAGCUUUGCAUUAUUAGGAGUUCAAGAGAUUAGGUUUUGCUACAGCAACAUGCAGAUCUCAGAACUUGAGAACAAACCCUUAGCAUCAUAUGCACUUUUCUGUUGCCCCUAAUGGUAAUGAGAAGCAUUUUCUGGGCUAGAAAAUACCCUCGUUAGUUCAUGACAGGGUAAUUCUAGGCCUGUAUGCCCUUGUUUGAUUAAAUGGUCCUUUGAUAGGGUCAAAAAAUAAUUAUCCUUUGAUAUUUUAGUCAAUUGUAGUACUACUGAGAGGCACUCUUUUCCUGCCUAUAGAAAUAAAGAACCCAUUUAACCUUGGAAAAACAUGAUUCAUGCUAUUUUCUUCAUAUAAGGAAAAGGAGUGGGCUUUUUUUGGGUACAAACCUAUUCAGUGAGAGAUAUCUUAGUGUCCUGGGGUGACUUUAUGAUGCUUGUAUCCCCAUUUGUUGGUUUAGCCCAGAAAUAAGUUUUGCACCCUUAGGUCUGGUUCCAAGAGUGAAGGGGGGACAAGAAGAAUCGUGGAGUUUGUUAUCAGAAACUGCUCUUGCACCUCUGCAUCCUUCUCCUGCACUGUGUUGUCUGCGGCAAGGACAGACAGCAGGAUAGAGGUCUGCUUUGAUUUUUAGUUAGUUUUAGCUAGCUAAGGCAGAGAAUUUCUCUGGACUGUGGUUUUUCUUUUUUUGUGGAACUGUUUAGACCUCCUCUGGACUGAAAACCCAGAAGAGCACCAGCAGCUCACUGCUGUGGCCCACUGGGCUGGGCCAGGCUUGCAGCAUUUCCAGUGCCAGAGGGACUGAUAAGAGAAUGAGUUAGGAGAGCUAUAGCCCACGAAGGUGACUGUCUGAGCAUGUCAUCUCUUCUAAGUGGCAAGAGGUUUUAGUGUUUGAUAUUGUUCAUUUCUUUGUGCUGGUGAAUAUUUUGCCUGUUAAAUAAAAAAAAAUUUCCCACUUUCCUCCAAAGAAAUCUUUUGCCGAACUAGUUAAAGGAAGGGCUGCUUAAAUCUGCUUUCUAGAGGAGCCCCUUUGGAGGUUUUCUCACAAAUUUGCCCUAAACCAAGACACUUAGUCAACAGGGGUCAGCUCUGGCACUGAGAGAAGAUGAAAAAAUUUGAGACAAUAUGUGAAAAAACCCCGGAUGGCUUUAACUAAAUUAAUAGAAAAUGUAUUUUGUCUUUUAUCCAGCCAUCACAUGAUAAUCCUGACAUCCCAAACUUUUGUCACAGUCAUAUGCUCUCAUUUUCGUAGUCUUCCACUUUGCUUUGUCAUUUACAGCAUUCAUGUCCUUGACUUCAAGCAACCUGAUGCUGUUCACUAGUUACUUGAUUUGAUAUUAAAAUAUUAUUAAAAUUGAAAAAAAAUUUAGAAAUUUGGAGAAGUGUGACUCAGUAAAAAUUCUGAGAGUACAGUGAAAGAUGUAAAGUGACUGAACUCUUGGAUUUACUUUGAAGAGGUCCUGUCCCCCUGUGUCUCUCCUUGCCCACCACCAACUGCAGCCACCCUUGUUGAUGCUGCUUCCUCUGCAUCUUUCACUUGGAGGCUCCUUUUUUUUUACAUGAUUUAUGAAGAUAUCUUCAUCCUCAGCUCUCUCUAGUCCUCCUUCAGAAACAGCUGGAGACCCAGCAAUUACCUGUGCCUCCUUGCUCUAUCACCCAGCUCAAAGCCUUUAGACCAUUGAUGUUAACAGCUGACCCCCAUUCUUUAAUUCCACAGUUUUCUCUGUAAAGCCCCUUGUCCCAGCACUUCUUUCUCCUUGAGCCAUUGUGGUUCCUCAGAAUUAGAGGUGCCAUGGUUUAGCUGAGGUGUUAGGGAACGGGUUGGACUCAAUGGUCUUGAAGGUCUCUUCCAACCUUGUGAUUCUGUAAAAAAAGAAAACAACCAAGCAAACAAACCAAAAAUAAAACAAAAACAACAACAACAAAAAAACCCAAACAAAAAAAAAACCCAAACAAACAAAAAAAACCCAAAAACCCCAGUGAACAGAUGACAGCUGUGAGGACACACAGCUCUCAGCCAGCAGCAUCCUGACCUACAGCAGUGUCUGUAUUCAGUAACCACUGAAGCUGCAAAGUUAUGCCUAACAGCUGGCAGCUACAGGUCCAUUCCUGUAUUUGCAGCAUCCACCAGGUGCUUGAUUCCAUUGAUGAUCCUAUAGGCUAUCAGGGAGAGUUUGUAUCAGGAUAUGCAUCAGAAAAGCAGCUUUUCUCAGAAUAGGAAUCAAGAUCAGGAGGCAGAAACCCUCACUUCAUAAACAGGGCUUAAAUCUGAACAAGAAGUGUGGGCUAAUCUAUCUGCCAGUCCUCUCCUGCUAGAGCUAUGCUGCUUGAACAAGGAAUACUCUGGUUUUGUUAUUCAUGUUUUCUUAUAUUGCCCCAUGCCUACAUGUCCCAUAUGCUGUGUAGGCACAAAAGAGCCAGUCAUCCUUGUGCAGAACAUCUGCAAUACUAAAUCAUGAUCCUUAUGUCCUGCUUUCUCAGCCUUCAACCAGAGGUUAUUUUUCAUCACCAGUCUAAAAGGGCUCAGAAGAAAUCUCUUUUUGGUUUAAAUAAUUAACUACUUUGACCUGGAUAUUCUGAGAGGCCCCACUAAUCUCAGCCUUCACAGCAGUUUCUAAAAUAAAGUAAAAGCAAUAGAAUAAUAUGAAAUAACAUGACAAUAAUGAAAUGAAAUAAAGUAAAUUAGUCUAAGUCACCAUUAGUUUUAUGAUCGAGCUCUUCUGCUGCAUGCACAGCUCCGCUUGGGAUCAGACCUGUGCUUCUCCAUCCUGUUUGGUUUGUGCCCGAGGCAAUGUCAAGACAACAGUUUAUUUCAGCUGAGAAUUUGAUGCCAGGCUAUUCUGGGACUGAGUAAAAUUUGUUCUCCAUAAUUACUUUACAAUCAGUGAAGAGCUCUUUCUAAGAGCAGCCUGAUGCUUUACACAUAUGCUUUAAAUAUUCUGGGCUUGUACUGCGUAACAGCCAGAAAGGACAAUGGCCUGGAGAGUGCAGGGUGUUCACUUGAGAGGCCAUCAUCUUCUCAAAAGUGCUAUGGCUGUGACAGAACGGGCAGAAAUAGACCAUUUAACCAGUCCUGAGACUGCUAACAGGGGGUGAAAGAAGUCCACAGGAGAACUGGAAAGUUUACGAUGUGUGAUAACACAUCACUCUCUAGUUCUACGUGGAAUUUUAUUCAAAAAUAUAUGUACUUUAAUAAAUGAAAUAUCAGCCUGUGAUUUUAUUUCUCUGUUGCAGAAAGAAGGCGAAUAUACCGUUUAUUGGGAUCCUCUGGGUGUGCAGGCACUGCCUACAGUGUGUUUAACCGCGCCUCGGCAGGGCCAACACGGGCGGGCCCAGGCAGGGAGCGGGACAGGGAGGGCACAGCUGCCACCCCCUGCGCUGUCACCAGACACUGAGUAGUGUCCCUUGGUGUCACCUGGCACCGAGCACGUGUCCCAGCACCUCCCUCAGCCACAGGUUAGACAGUCAGCUGUUAGACACCCCUGCUCUCCACCUAGCACUGGGUGCGAGAUGAUUGCACAGAUCCUGAGGUAGAGGAAGGGACAGCGGGGUGACACAGCCGAGGUCCCAACAUCUGCCUGCAGCUGGGCAAGAGGUGUCAUGGACACAAAGGGUCUCUGCUUACCUGCCCCAGACAUGGCAGCACCAUGCCCUGCAGGAAGAGUCUGGGCUCCUGCCUGUGACAUGUGCACCCGUCGGGCUGGGCUCCUGGUGUGCCAGUGCCCAGACACCCAUCUGGUCGGUGGCACUUGCUGGUGAUCCCUGGCAUGUGUCCCACAUCCAUGCACGUAGCAGGACACCAGGACCAGCUCUUGGCACCCUCUGGCAAGGCUGAGAUCUGCAAGUGACAAGUUCCACCCCAGCUCUGACCUUGCCUGUACUGUGAGACACUGGACAGCACCACGAGCCAGACCCCAGGAUUUUAAUGGCACUUAGCAAAUCUCACUUGCAUCUUGGU